rnacentral:rRNA from 1 species
UACGUAGGGUGCGGGCGUUAAUCGGAAUUACUGGGCGUAAAGCGUGCGCAGGCGGUUUUGUAAGCCAGAUGUGAAAGCCCCGGGCUCAACCUGGGAAUGGCAUUUGGGACUGCAAGGCUGGAGUUUGGCAGAGGAGACUGGAAUUCCUGGUGUAGCAGUGAAAUGCGUAGAUAUCAGGAGGAAUACCGAUGGCGAAGGCAGGUCUCUGGGCUAUAACUGACGCUGAGGAGCGAAAGCAUGGGGAGCGAACAGG